GAUGAACGCUGGCGGCGUGCCUAAUACAUGCAAGUCGAGCGAAUGGAUUAAGAGCUUGCUCUUAUGAAGUUAGCGGCGGACGGGUGAGUAACACGUGGGUAACCUGCCCAUAAGACUGGGAUAACUCCGGGAAACCGGGGCUAAUACCGGAUAACAUUUUGAACCGCAUGGUUCGAAAUUGAAAGGCGGCUUCGGCUGUCACUUAUGGAUGGACCCGCGUCGCAUUAGCUAGUUGGUGAGGUAACGGCUCACUAAGGCAACGAUGCGUAGCCGACCUGAGAGGGUGCUCGGCCACACUGGGACUGAGACACGGCGCAGACUCCUACGGGAGGCAGCAGUAGGGAAGCUUCCGCAAUGGACGAAAGUCUGACGGAGCAACGCCGCGUGAGUGAUGAAGGCUUUCGGGUCGUAAAACUCUGUUGUUAGGGAAGAACAAGUGCUAGUUGAAUAAGCUGACACCUUGACGGUACCUAACCAGAAAGCCACGGCUAACUACGUGCCAGCCGCCGCCGUAA
rnacentral:rRNA from 1 species